AUGAAACCCAACAACCAGGCCGUCCGGAGGGCAGCUUCCACCAGCGGGCUGCUCCUCAUCCUCCUGCUCGUCGCCUUCACGGCGUCCAACUACUCGUCGCUCUACACCGAGCAGUUGCUCGUCGGCGUGCCCGCCACCCCGGGCUACUCCUCUGCCACGGCGGGAUCCCGCGCGAGCGAUGGCAACGCCGGACUGGCGUGCGACGUGGCGAGGGGCGAAUGGGUGCCCGACCCGGUCGCGCCCUACUACACCAACGCGACGUGCCCGCUGAUCGACGCCCGGCAGGACUGCAUGAUGUACGGCAAGCCCGGGAUCGAGUCCAUCAUCCGGUGGCGGUGGCAGCCCCACGGCUGCGACCUCCCCCGCUUCGACGCGGCGGCCUUCCUCCGCCUCGUCCGCGGCAAGUCCAUGGCCUUCGUCGGGGACUCCGUCGCGCGCAACCACAUGCAGUCGCUCAUGUGCCUGCUCGCCGAGGUGGAGCACCCGAGGGAGAUCGAGCCCAAGGACUGCGUGCACUGCACGCGCAAGUACCAUUACCGGGAGCACGACUUCACGGUGUGCGUGUUCUGGACGCCGUUCCUGGUGCGGUGGAACGUGACGCACGCCGGCGGGCAGAAGUUCAUGGACCCGCAGAACUUGUACCUGGACGAGCCGGACCCGGAGUGGAGCCGCGACGUCGCCGGCUACGACUACGUCGUCCUCAACGGCGCCAAGUGGUUCACCCGCCCCACCGUGCUCUACGAGGGCGGCCGCCUCCUCGGCUGCGCCAACGUCGACAGCUGCGAGGCCAAGCACAACGCCACCGCCGUGGCCCCGCACUACGCGGUGCGCGCGUCGUUCCGGACCGCGCUCCGGGCGCUCGCCGGGUUCCGCGGCCGGGUGGUCGUCCGGACGGUGGCGCCCCCGCACUACGAGAACGGGAAGUGGGACGACGGAGGAAACUGCCUGAGGACGGGGCCCAUGCGGAGCAACGAGACCAGCCUACCGGAGACCGAGGCUGCGUUUCACGUCGCGCAGGUGGAGGAGUUCCGGGCCGCGUCGGCGGCGGCGGCCUCGGAGGGGCGGUUCGGGCUGAUGGACGUGAGCGAGAUGAUGCAGAUGAGGGGCGACGCGCACCCCGGACAGUACGGGCACUGGCCGCACGAGAAGGUCGGCUUCGGCAUCGACUGCGUGCACUGGUGCUUGCCCGGCCCCGUCGACGCUUGGAGCGAGGUGCUGCUCCAUUUACUGACAUGA
rnacentral:rRNA from 1 species